GGUCCAGUAGCUCAGAGGAUAGAGCGGCCGCCUCCUAAGCGGCAGGUCGGUGGUUCGAUUCCACUCUGGAUCA
rnacentral:tRNA from 1 species